GCGCCGGUAACUCAGUUGGCAGAGCAGUGGGAUGAUAACCCACUGUCCCGGGUUCAAAUCCCGGCUGACGCU